rnacentral:lncRNA from 1 species
GUAGUUACAAGUAACGAUUAAUAAAAUAAAUCAAGUAACUCGCAAGUUCAUCAAUUUUUUACAAGUACUUGAAACUGCAAGUACUCGUUUUUAGCAAACCAAAUACAAGUCCAAAAUUUUACUACUCGAACAAGCCAAGCCAAGUACUAAGUACAACGAAAAUACCAAGUACCCGGUUUGUACCCACCCCUAAGUCAAGGUCAUCCUUGAAUUUCUUCUAAUAAGAAGUGUCAUCGAUAAAAGAAGAAGAAAAAUGAAUGAGUAAGAAAAAUAUUGAAAAAGAAGAUGAUGAAUUUAGGAGGUAAAGAAGAUGAGAAUUGUAAAUAUUGAAAAAAAAAUGUAUAAGAAAAAAACUUGUGACAGUUAACGAUAGGAAUUUUUUUCCAAAAGAACACGAUGGUGGCCAAAAAGUAAAAGAAAAAAAAUAAAGUAUUUAAUCUCUCAAAAACCAAAGAAGUAAAUGAUUACCUAUCCCAAAAAUAUUCAUUUUCCAAUGAAGGAAAAUCGAAUCUCUUGAUUUACAUCGACCAAAACUGGAAUCAAAUCAACAAUUAAUUCAAGAAACAAGAAUAUUGAACUGGGUUCUAAAAUCACAAACCUUUGGUCACAAAUCUACCAUCUAGGUCAGAAUCAGCAUCUGACAUGGCUACCGACCUAGGGCACGCUAGACUCCGGAGGGUUAUUGUUGGAGAUGGGUUUCACCCAAAUACAAAUCCGGUCCAAGAAUCUGACCCAAGAGUCCCAAAAUUCGAUAAGAAGACCUAAAAGAAAGAAGGUCCACCCCGAGCUCGGAGCAAAGUCAAUGCCGACCUGACCAAAUAAAUACAAAACAUAGAAAAGAUCAAAACAUUAAAUACAAAAUUGAUGAUAUGAGAUACACAGUAGAGAUCACAGC